AUGAUUUGACCUGUUUAAAACAAAAUACAUUUAAUAUUGAAUAUACCAAAUAAACUUUUUUAUAGUCCUCAUUAUUGUGACGUAAGGGGACCUUAUUUCAUCUGGCUUUUAUCUGGCUUUCCCAUACAUUUUAAAAUCAAUAUGAAAAUCCUAGACUUAAAAGUUGAAAUAAGUUUAGUUUUGUUUGACUCUUUGAAGUCAGAACAUGAUUUGACCUGUUAAAGUCAGUUUACAGAACAAAAUUUCCAAUCAAAACUAGGUCUUCUUCCUCUAAGCCCCCCCCCCCCCCCCCCCCCCCCCCCCCCUCCCCCCCUUUUUCCCUUUAUCUGAAUCUGCUACUGUUUAGUUAAUUAAUCAUGUUAAUUGAUAAGUUUUUUUAGAAACAAUUCAGUCAAAUGGUCUUUAAAAUAAUAUUUUUUACAACCAAAAGUUCCAUGUGUUAACUUAACAGAAAAGAAAAAG